rnacentral:rRNA from 1 species
AGGAAGUAAAAGUCGUAACAAGGUUUCCGUAGGUGAACCUGCGGAAGGAUCAUUAGAAUGAGAUUCGGUCCGAGGGCUUAAAAACCUUAGGGCCGUCAACCUCCACCCUUGUGUAUCAUUCAAUUGUUGCUUUGGUGGGCCGCGACCCGCACGGGGAGCACCGGCUUCAGCUGGAGAGUGCCUGCCAGAGAACCCCAACUCUGUAUUUUGUAACAUCUGAGUACUAUACAAUAGUUAAAACUUUCAACAACGGAUCUCUUGGUUCUGGCAUCGAUGAAGAACGCAGCGAAAUGCGAUAAGUAAUGUGAAUUGCAGAAUUCAGUGAAUCAUCGAAUCUUUGAACGCACAUUGCGCCCUCUGGUAUUCCGGGGGGCAUGCCUGUUCGAGCGUCAUUAUGACCAAUCACGCAAGUGGUAUUGGGGCUUGCCGUCGGCAUCCCUUAAAAUCAGUGGCAGUGCUAUAGGCUCUCAGCGCAGUAAUUAUUUCGCUCUUGAGUCCUAGACCCACCCGCCAAAACCCCAACUAUUUUAAGGUUGACCUCGGAUCAGGUAGGGAUACCCGCUGAACUUAAGCAUAUC